GGGACGCCCUUGACCACACAGGUUGGGCCCAUUUCCUACCGGGAAGUGCUGGGCCUGUUCGACGCGGGCUGUGUCCCU
rnacentral:tRNA from 1 species